UACGUAGGGGGCAAGCGUUGUCCGGAUUCAUUGGGCGUAAAGAGCGUGUAGGCGGCCAGGUAGGUCGGUUGUGAAAACUGGAGGCUCAACCUUCAGACGUCGACCGAAACCAUCUGGCUAGAGUCCGGGAGAGGAGAGUGGAAUUCCUGGUGUAGCGGUGAAAUGCGCAGAUAUCAGGAAGAACACCCGUGGCGAAAGCGGCUCUCUGGAACGGUACUGACGCUGAGACGCGAAAUCGUGGGGAGCGAACAGG
rnacentral:rRNA from 1 species